rnacentral:rRNA from 1 species
GAGUUUGAUCAUGGCUCAGGAUGAACGCUGGCGGCGUGCCUAAUACAUGCAAGUCGAGCGAACAGACGAGGAGCUUGCUCCUCUGACGUUAGCGGCGGACGGGUGAGUAACACGUGGAUAACCUACCUAUAAGACUGGGAUAACUUCGGGAAACCGGAGCUAAUACCGAAUAAUAUAUUGAACCGCAUGGUUCAAUAGUGAAAAACGGUUUUGCUGUCACUUAUAGAUGGAUCCGCGCCGCAUUAGCUAGUUGGUAGGGUAACGGCUUACCAAGGCGACGAUGCGUAGCCGACCUGAGAGGGUGAUCGGCCACACUGGAACUGAGACACGGUCCAGACUCCUACGGGAGGCAGCAGUAGGGAAUCUUCCGCAAUGGGCGAAAGCCUGACGGAGCAACGCCGCGUGAGUGAUGAAGGUCUUCGGAUCGUAAAACUCUGUUAUUAGGGAAGAACAAAUGUGUAAGUAACUAUGCACGUCUUGACGGUACCUAAUCAGAAAGCCACGGCUAACUACGUGCCAGCCCG